AUGGAGGUGAUGAGAUUCCAGGAGUAGUCGGAGUGACUGGAAAGAUUGGACUGCCUGGAGUACCUGGGUCUAUAGGAGUUGAUGGUGGGCUUCCAUAAGUUGGUGUUAGAGGGGUGCCUGGGUCUAUAGGAGUUGAUGGUGGGCUUAUUGUAGUGGGUGGGCUUCCAUAGGUUGGUGUUGAAGGGGUGCCGGGGUCUAUAGGAGUUGAUGGUGGGCUUAGGGUAGUUGGUGGGCUUCCAUAAGUUGGUGUUGAAGGGGUGCCUGGGUCUAUAGAUGGACUAGUUGGCGGGCUUCCAUAAGUUGGCGGGCUCCCGUAUGUUGGAGUUGAGGGCGUGUCUGGGUCUAUAGACGGACUAGUUGGCGGGCUUAUGGUGCUGGGUGGGGUUGAAGGGGUGCCUGGGUCUAUAG
rnacentral:lncRNA from 1 species